AUUGAACGCUGGCGGCAUGCUUUACACAUGCAAGUCGAACGGUAACAGGCCGCAAGGUGCUGACGAGUGGCGAACGGGUGCGUAAUGCAUCGGAACGUGCCCAGUCGUGGGGGAUAACUACUCGAAAGAGUAGCUAAUACCGCAUACGAUCUAUGGAUGAAAGCGGGGGACCGUAAGGCCUCGCGCGAUUGGAGCGGCCGAUGUCAGAUUAGGUAGUUGGUGGGGUAAAGGCUCACCAAGCCAACGAUCUGUAGCUGGUCUGAGAGGACGACCAGCCACACUGGGACUGAGAAACGGCCCAGACUCCUAAGGGAGGCAGCAGGGGGGAAUUUUGGACAAUGGGCGCAAGCCUGAUCCAGCAAUGCCGCGUGCAGGAAGAAGGCCUUCGGGUUGUAAACUGCUUUUGUACGGAACGAAACGGCUCUGGUUAAUACCCGGGGCUAAUGACGGUACCGUAAGAAUAAGCACCGGCUAACUACGUG
rnacentral:rRNA from 1 species